CCCUUAGAUGUUCUGGGCCGCACGCGCGCUACAAUGAUGAAUUCAACGAGUUUAUAACCUUGGUUGAAAAGCCUGGGUAAUCUUUUGAACUUUCGUCGUGAUGGGGCUAGACCCUUGCAAUUAUUGGUCUCCAACGAGGAAUUCCUAGUAAACGCAAGUCAUCAGCUUGCAUUGAUUACGUCCCUGCCCUUUGUACACACCGCCCGUCGCACCUACCGAUUGAAUGGUCCGGCGAAAUCUUCGGAUUGAGACUUUGUUUUCUUCACGGAAAACGCUGUUUUAAAAAGUUGAUUAAACCUUACCAUUUAGAGGAAGGUGAAGUCGUAACA
rnacentral:rRNA from 1 species